rnacentral:rRNA from 1 species
CUCAUAAGGCUGAGCUGUGAUGAGGAGAGGAAAUUGUUUCCUCGAGUCGCUGAUUUCACACUGCCGAGAAAAGCCUCUAGAUAGAUAACAGGUGCCCGUACCGCAAACCGACACAGGUAGUCAAGAUGAGAAUUCUAAGGUGAGCGAGCGAACUCUCGUUAAGGAACUCGGCAAAAUGACCCCGUAACUUCGGGAGAAGGGGUGCUCUUUAGGGUUCACGCCCAGAAGAGCCGCAGUGAAUAGGCCCAAGCGACUGUUUAUCAAAAACACAGGUCUCUGCUAAACCGUAAGGUGAUGUAU